UUCAGAUCCGGGGAUUUCUGUCACGGUUUGAUAAUGUGCUUCCUGUCAGCCUGGCAUUUGACAAAUGUACUGCUUGCUCAUCCAAAGUUCUUGAUCAAUAUGAACGGGAAGGAUUUAAUUUCCUUGAGAAGGUGUUCAAUUCCUCACAUUCCUUCUUAGAAGACUUGACUGGUCUUACACUGCUACAUCAGGAGACCCAAGCAGCCGAGAUCUGGGACAUGAGUGAUGAUGAGACCAUCUGAGACUGCAGCUGAGGAGUACGCAGCCAGUACUGGUGAUCUGAGCCCUGGACCUCCCCAGUCCUCCUUUCCAUGCUGGGAGGACUAAGCUCUGACCAGGUUCUGCCCUCUCCUGCCACACCAACCACCAGUUCUGAGUUCAAUAAUAACCCUGGCUUUGGCGUCGCCAUUA